GACGAACGCUGGCGGCGUGCUUAACACAUGCAAGUCGAGCGGUAAGGCCCUUUCGGGGGUACACGAGCGGCGAACGGGUGAGUAACACGUGGGUGACCUGCCUUUAGCUCUGGGAUAAGCCUGGGAAAACCGGGUCUAAUACCGGAUAUGACUCCGCGGCGCAUGUUGUGGGGUGGAAAGCCUUGUGCGGCUGGAGAUGGGCCCACGGCCUAUCAGCUUGUUGGUGGGGUGAUGGCCUACCAAGGCGACGACGGGUAGCCGGCCUGAGAGGCGACCGGCCACACUGGGACUGAGACACGGCCCAGACUCCUACGGGAGGCAGCAGUGGGGAAUCUUGCGCAAUGGGCGAAAGCCUGACGCAGCGACGCCGCGUGA
rnacentral:rRNA from 1 species